GACGAACGCUGGCGGCGUGCUUAACACAUGCAAGUCAAGGACCGUAGCAAUACGGGACUGGCGCACGGGUGCGGAACACGUAGGCAAUCUGCCCUUCAGGGGAGAACAACCAGCCGAAAGGUUGGCUAAAUCUCCGUAAAAUCAUAGAGUGGCAUCACUUAUUGAUCAAGUUUUCUGAAGGAUGAGCCUGCGUCUGAUUAGCUAGUUGGCGGGGUAACGCCCACCAAGGCUACGAUCAGUAGCUGGUCUGAGAGGAUGAUCAGCCACAUUGGGACUGAGAUACGGCCCAGACUCCUACGGGAGGCAGCAGUGAGGAAUAUUGCUCAA
rnacentral:rRNA from 1 species